GGUACGUGAGGUAAUCAGCCAAGGUAAAUACUUGGGUUUUCCUUCUAUGGUCAGGAGGAAUAAAAAAGCUAUCUUUAUAUACCUAAAGGAGCAGAUCUGGAAAAAUAUUCAGAAUUGGAGCCAAAGAUCACUUUUUAGAGCAGGUUCAAAGAAAAAUGGAGCGUUCGGUAUCAAUUGGCUCAAAUGGGACAAUAUGACAAUCCGCAAAGACUAUGGUGACUAUGGAGAGCAAGUAUGGAAGCUUCCCAUAAACUCUUCCUUUAUUCUUACCAGAGUUCUCAAAGAUAAAUAUUUUCCUAGAAAUGGAUUUUUGGAUGCCAAACUUGGUAAUAGUCCAAGCUAUACAUGGAGGAGUAUAUGGAGCACCAUUCCACUGUUAACACUUGGAUAUAGGUGGAGAAUUGGAGACGGAAAAAGUAUCAAUGUAUGGUCUGAUCUGUGGAUUAGAACUCGUAACAAUAUGAAGCCUACAACAACACCACUGUAUCACCACCCUCAUUUGAUGAUCUCACAACUCUUUGAUCACCAACAAAAUACUUGGGAUCUUACCUUGUUGAACUCAAUUAUGAAUACACAAGAUGUAUUUGAUAUUUGUAAAAUCCCUCUCUCCAGAGCUUUGUCUGAUUAAGUUGUUUGGACAUCUACGCCAAGUGGUUGUUAUACUGUCAAAUCAACAUAUAAGUUAUCAAUAUCUCUCACUGCUUAUGAAUCUCUCCCUCGAGUUGAUGGAAAUUGGAAAGAUGUCUGGUCGCUUCAAUUACCACAAUAAAUGAAGCACUUUUGUUGGCGCUUAGUUAGACUAUGUCUUCCAACUAGAUUCAACCUUCAUUGUCGAGGUGUCUCUUACCCGACGAUAUGUGUACUAUGUGAUGACGCGGUAGAUGAUGAGAUGCACCUUUUCUUUGGAUGUGCACAUUCUCGAGAUUGUUGGGUUGCCACAAACUUAUGGAGAAAAAUUGAGCAAAAGUUGUUGUCAUUUAAUACUCAACCCAAGUUGUUUUUCUCAAUUUUUGUAGGUUUAUCUGAAAUAGAAAAAUCACGUUUUGUUGCACUUUAAUGGAGCAUAUGGUGCACUCAUAACGAGGUUCUUUGGGAGCAUAAAACAUUGAAUGUUUCUACAACUUGCAGGGCAGCAACCAAUGCAGUCCAAGACUUCCGUUGGUGUACUCAAGCCAUCCAACACUCUCAAGAUCAUACGUCUACACCACCACCCAUAGUAUCUUUGGAGAAACCUGGUCCAAAUUGGUUUAAGUGUAACAUGGAUUGUGCCCUUUUCACAGACAAAUGUUGUUUUGGAGUUGGCAUUUGUUUCUGUGAUAGCACGGGGACAUUUGGUUCAAGCAUAUACAGAGUGUUUUUCUUAUACUAUCCCGGUUAUCGAAUGUGAGGCUACAUCUCUCCUCAUUGCUAUGAAGGUAGCUGGUUGACAAAGGCUUUGAACACGUUGAGUAUGAGAGCGAUAACCAAUCCCUAGUUCAUGUUGUGCUUAGUGGUUGUAUCUACGAAAAUGAACUAGGUACUAUCAUUACUUGUUGCAGGUCAUAUCUCUCUGAUCAUGCUAGCUUUAAACUAGCUUUUAUUCGUGAGCAAGCUAAUAGAGCCGCUCACAUUUUUGCUAGAGCGUCUGUAUUUCAG